GCCCAGGUAGCUCAGUCGGCAGAGCGCGUGCCUUUUAAGCCCGUGGCCGCGGGUUCGAGCCCCGCCCGAGGUG
rnacentral:tRNA from 1 species